rnacentral:rRNA from 1 species
CAGGUCUUGACAUCCUCUGACAACUCUAGAGAUAGAGCGUUCCCCUUCGGGGGACAGAGUGACAGGUGGUGCAUGGUUGUUGUCAGCUCGUGUCGUGAGAUGUUGGGUUAAGUCCCGCAACGAGCGCAACCCUUGAUCUUAGUUGCCAGCAUUUAGUUGGGCACUCUAAGGUGACUGCCGGUGACAAACCGGAGGAAGGUGGGGAUGACGUCAAAUCAUCAUGCCCCUUAUGACCUGGGCUACACACGUGCUACAAUGGAUGGUACAAAGGGCUGCAAGACCGCGAGGUCAAGCCAAUCCCAUAAAACCAUUCUCAGUUCGGAUUGUAGGCUGCAACUCGCCUACAUGAAGCUGGAAUCGCUAGUAAUCGCGGAUCAGCAUGCCGCGGUGAAUA